CCACCACUAGAUAUCGUAUCGUUCGCGGACGAAAGUUUCGAUUACGUCAACUCGCAAGUUAUCGACCUUUCGGCUAAUCCCAAUCUAUGACAACUUCAGAUGGAUUCGAUUAAUCUUCGACAUUUAAUGCUGACAGUAAAACAUGGAAACUAAUUAAAAUUCCGAACAAUAAGUAAGGAUCGCUGUUGAUUCGUGGCAUGCACCUGUGGAACGAGGCGAAAUACACAGCAAGAAGAAGAAUAAAAAGACAGGGUGAUGUUCGACCGAACGAUUUUCUCUGGCCCUUUAAUCAAGAAGGAGGAACCCGUAACGACGUAGCGCGUAAUGAGUAAUGACAUCUGGUCUGUAUAGGGCGGGGCUAACAGGUCCCACGCGGUCUCCUGGUUAUACAUAUAUGUUCUACGUACACUAACACUAUCGUCCGGUUUCUGCUCAUUUAAACACUUACGAACUCGAUUUAAACGACCUCCAUCCGUGCGAUUGCCUCUCGUCUGCGCUGUUCGUAUCGUUCGUGUAAAGCUUCGUGCAGAUUUAUGAGAUUAAAUUUACUCAUGUGUCUAAAUAUGAAAUAGAUCUUGUCUUGUUAGAAAAAGUUAAUUAAUUUUAAUAUUUAAUCGAGAUAACGAUUUAAUAUUUCGAAUGAAAACGUGUUUAAAAUUUUUGUAACUAAAAAAUAAUUUUCUUUUUCAUUGACUUCAUUGAAAAUUUAUUGAUUUCUGUGAUUAUGACAAACUAAAUCUUAUUUUAAAAAAUAUAUUUUUAUUCCAUGAAUUAUUUUAUUCCAAUUUAUAAAGAUAAAACUAUCUUAUUAAUAAAUAACCUCAAAAGAUGGAAACAUAUCUCGAUUUUUAUAGAGUUUAUUAGCUAACAUAGCUCGGUUGCGUAAUAGUUAGAAACGCAUAAAACGCAAUUAUAAAUCCAUUUCAUAACGCGAACUGUUAGUGCCAGAUACAGACGUAUACGCGUGUAUAUUGAAAGUGCAAUAUGUUCGCGUUAAAACAUCCGCUUGCUAAAUACGGUAUAAGCGUAUCUUAGAAUCAUACCGGGUGAUACUGUUGCAGCAUUUUAGCUUUGUCGCUGACAUCUGAAUCGUAAUUGCGUACGAAAUAUUAUAGUAUACGGAUAAGGAUUUCCUAAUAUGGACUAAGCUUAUAUGGAAAGAUAAACUAUUCUACAUUAGGACGUCUAACGUCCUCUCUAACAUCUUGUAUACAAGAACGAGUCCGGUUGUGUAACGGUUUAAUAGUAAAAACUAUAUUACCGGCAUAAAAGAGCAAGAAUAUAAUUUCUUUGUACAAUUUUUCAUUUGUUAUUUCACGAAAAUAUAACUGUUGUACGGAAAUAUCUCUCGCCAUUUUAUAUGUUAAUUGUGCUCUUUACAGUGAAAUAUUUAAAAAAAGAUUGUAGUUAAAAAGAUUGACAGUGGAUCGUAUUUUACGUCGGAGGUGAAAAAAUUUCUUUUCUCAAUAACUUUAUAAGAAUCUUUGUUAUCUUUUUCUUUUUUGUGUAUUAAAGUUUGUGACAUAAAGACAUUAUAAAAUUUUACAAAGCAUAUUUGUCUACAAUUAAUGAGUCUUACAAAUUUUCAAAUUUAUGUUACUACAAAGAAGAGGGACAAGAUAUCUAUGUUGGUCAAAAAGAAUAUACGAGAAGGAAGGGCGAGAAACUGGUCAUUACGAGCAAAUAGCUGCGUCGAAGUUGUGAGAACCAUGGUGCUCUGAGACGGUGUUAUUAAGCAAAAAUAUUACGCCGUUUUCAGAGCAUUAACGAACAAGUUUUACAGGGGAACGUAAACCGUGGCCGGCUCAUAUAUUAAGCUGGUUUGAAUGUUCUAUGAACGAAUACGACAAAUCCGUGCUUCGGUUCUGACCUUCUUUGGCGCGACAGCGUGGGCGCAUUUACUUCAGACGGAAUUACAGUCUGCACUUACUCCAUCUUACCUCACUCAUUUCAGUAUAAGUAACUGCAAUCGUGAACCGUGACCGCUGUAUCGUAUCAUCUGGUUUACGUAAUUAUACGUAUGAAUGCACCGUCUUGAAUCGAAAGGUAAUUCGCCCGGAAGUGAUUCUUAUGUGAGCUUGGUGGUCCUUGAUUACAGAAUUUAGAAUUCGUCGCACUAUAGGAAGAAACUGGUUUUACCUGAAUCAUUUCACGGUUGGGAAAAUGGAUCGCACAUUAGGACACUGUUAGAAGUUGUCGAGUUAAUUCGCAAUGUUAUAUUAUAAAAAAAUAUCACUUCAAGGAAAUUUUAGGAUUGAUUUUUAAGGAAAUAUCGGAGAUGUAUAUUUUUAUUUUACUAUGCAUUUUUGCAAUUAAAUGGUAUGUAUAAAUGGAUGGAGCUCAAGCAUUUUCGUGAUUCAAAACUUGUAUCUUUGAAUGGAUAAAUGAAAUCUAAUAUACGGAUCAACAAUAAGUAUAAUAUUAUAGCAAGGAAACUUGGUUAAAAGCCAAGAAAUGUAAAUCACGUGGAUAGUUUGAUCUACACGGAAUAGUAAUGGAUAUGCAAAACUAGAGUAAAGUGCCAGAUACCGUUUAGUGAUUGGAAUAAGCACGAUUCAGACUGUAUUACCUUUGCAGUCAAUCACGUGCUUGACUAUAUUAUCUGCGAAAUAAGCUGUUUUCAUUGAAAAUCGGUAUUUGUGAUCUCUAAUAGAAUAAUAUUAUUAUAGCAAAAUUAUGAUACUAUGAACAAAAAUAAUAAUUAAUAAUUGAUUUAAUUUCAGAUGGUAAGAUCUUUUAUAUCUUUUAUUUACAAUUCCAAAUAUAUAAUAUUUGAUAUUUGAAUUUUUAUUUUUUCACAUAAAUAUUAAUCUUAUAAUCAUACAGUAAAAAAUAGAUUAUCACUAAAUAAUUACAUCCAAAUAUAUUAUAUCCAAAUAUGUACUUAAAUAUUGCUAUGUUUUCUAAGUCAUUUUAUAUUAAAUUGUGAAACAUAAAAAUUCCAGAAAAUGGAUCUUUUUUCCAGAAAAUUUUAUCCAAGAUCAUAAAUCAUUUCAAUCGUAUCUAUUUAUCAUUCGUCUCAUUCAUAUUAAAAAGUUUCUUUCGUUUGUCGAUCGAACGAUCAAAUCAUGAGCUAUUAUAUUAGUCACACCUAUAAUCGGGCAAUAGAGUCGUAUACAGUUUUGCUAGUUGUUCAACACGGAUAUCACGGAUAUCACGUUACACACGUAACGUGGAGUAAAAGUACAGAUGCUUGAACUCUUAUCAUUUAUCAACUGAUUUAGCCGUCGUUGAAAGAGCUGAGCAACGCGCCUUGUUUCCCCAUAUAUGUAUAGUGGCACGCUUAUCGCAUAUCGAAACUCUGACACGAACUACAUCUCGCAAAACUCUAAACUUGCUGUUUGCAUAGUUACAGAUUUUUAUAAUGGCGCGUUAGCAUUGAUAUCGACGCAAGAUAAACAGUAUCUGUAUUUUUUAUGACCCCGAAGGAUCAUUUCCUGUUUUGCAAGCAAAUACUUGACACGUUAGCAUAUUGCAAAAUUUUCAAAAAUAUAUAUAAAUUUCGUUUCUUCAUCCAGUUGGCAGAUCACUCCAAUUGGAAUCGAAACACUGGUUAACACAUUUUCUGCAACAAUUUAUUACUUCUGCCGUUUAUAUUCGCCGCCAUUUAGCAGAUAUUUACGCCACAUUAAUAAUGUGGUAACCGCGUGAUUCUUGAAAAUUUUCUCAUCUGGCUGCAUCGUACAUGUCGUUCACAAAUCAUAAACACAUCUCUGCGACAAAAUUAUGCGCUCAACUUAUUCACUCGUAACGUGUAAAUUAUGAGCCAACAGUGGACCGGUUUCCAUCGAAUUGAAUCCGAAACCUUGUUCAUUUUUUAUAUUUUGAAUACAAAAAAAUGUGCGUGCAAAUUUCGGAUAUUGGAUAAUAUCAAUUUUAUGUGUUUAUUCUUGGAAUGAUUAUCGUAAUUUAAAUUGGAAUGAUCAAAAUUUAUGUAAAUUCGAAUAUAUUUUCACUUUUCAUAUAUGCAUACAUAUAUUUAUAAAAUAAAAGUAAUUUAAUAUUAAUAGAAUUGUUUACAUAUAAAUAUUACAUAUUUAUAUUUUUUAAAUUUAUUUUAUAUUUAUUCUCUAACGAUAAACGAUAAAUUCGAUAAUUUGUUGUUCACAAUUUUUAUUAAAUCAUAUUAGAUAGAAUUUGACAUUUCAUGUUAAAGUAGAUAAGUUAUACAUAUUUGUAUGUACUUAAUGUAACUUUAUUCAUCUACUUAGCAUUCGUAAACAAAUAGUCAUCAAUCACGUUUCUAUUUCUUAUUCAUUUUUCAAAUAAAACUUUAUAUUUAUAUCUUAAUAAAUUCAUUAUAACUUUCCAGAA